rnacentral:rRNA from 1 species
UACGUAGGGGGCAAGCGUUGUCCGGAUUCAUUGGGCGUAAAGGGCGCGUAGGUGGCCUGUUAAGUCGAACGUGAAAUCCCCGGGCUCAACCCGGGAACUGCGUCCGAGACUGGCAGGCUCGAAUCCGGGAGAGGGAUGUGGAAUUCCAGGUGUAGCGGUGAAAUGCGUAGAUAUCUGGAGGAACACCGGUGGCGAAGGCGGCAUCCUGGACCGGUAUUGACGCUGAGGCGCGAAAGCCAGGGGAGCAAACGGG